rnacentral:rRNA from 1 species
GACGAACGCUGGCGGCGUGCCUAAUACAUGCAAGUCGAACGCUGAAGAGAGGAGCUUGCUCUUCUUGGAUGAGUUGCGCACGGGUGAGUAACGCGUAGGUAACCUGCCUUGUAGCGGGGGAUAACUAUUGGAAACGAUAGCUAAUACCGCAUAACAAUGUAUGACACAUGUCAUUUAUUUGAAAGGGGCAAUUGCUCCACUACAAGAUGGACCUUCGUCGUAUUAGCUAGUAGGUGAGGUAACGGCUCACCUAGGCGACGAUACAUAGCCGACCUGAGAGGGUGAGCGGCCACCCUGGGACUGAGACACGGCCCAGACGCCUAGGGGAGGCGGCCGUAGGGAAACGUCGGGAAGGAGGGCAAAACUGACCGAGAAACGCCGCGUGAGGGAAGAAGGUUGUCGGAUCGUAAAGCUCGGUUGUAAGUCAAGAAAGAGCGUGAGAGUGGAAAGUUCACACUGUGACGGUAGCUUACCAGAAAGGGACGGCUAACUACGUG